UGUGGUGUGGUCAAGCGGUAAGACGACCGGAUGCCAUGAUAGCAACGCCAAUAAGUCUUGAUUGGGCUGGUAAUCGCAGGUUCGAAUCCUGUCACCACAC
rnacentral:tRNA from 1 species